rnacentral:rRNA from 1 species
GAUGAACGCUGGCGGCGUGCCUAAUACAUGCAAGUCGAGCGAAUGGAUUAAGAGCUUGCUCUUAUGAAGUUAGCGGCGGACGGGUGAGUAACACGUGGGUAACCUGCCCAUAAGACUGGGAUAACUCCGGGAAACCGGGGCUAAUACCGGAUAACAUUUUGAACCGCAUGGUUCGAAAUUGAAAGGCGGCUUCGGCUGUCACUUAUGGAUGGAACCGCGUCGCAUUAGCUAGUUGGGGAGGUAACGGCUCACCAAGGCAACGAUGCGUAGCCGACCUGAGAGGGUGAUCGGCCACACUGGGACUGAGACACGGCCCAGACUCCUACGGGAGGCAGCAGUAGGGAAUCUUCCGCAAUGGGCGAAAGUCUGACGGAGCAACGCCGCGUGAGUGAUGAAGGCUUUCGGGUCGUAAAACUCUGUUGUUAGGGAAGAACAAGUGCUAGUUGAAUAAGCUGACACCUUGACGGUACCUAACCAGAAAGCCACGGCUAACUACGUGCCAGCCGCCGCGGUAA